GUGCCAGCCGCCGCGGUAAUACCGGCAACCCGAGUGAUGGCCGAUCUUAUUGGGCCUAAAGCGUCCGUAGCUGGCUGCGCAAGUCCGUCGGGAAAUCCACCCGCCCAACGGGUGGGCGUCCGGUGGAAACUGCGUGGCUUGGGACCGGAAGGCGCGACGGGUACGUCCGGGGUAGGAGUGAAAGCCCGUAAUCCUGGACGGACCGCCGAUGGCGAAAGCACGUCGCGAAGACGGAUCCGACAGUGAGGGACGAAAGCUAGGGUCGCGAACCGGAUUAGAAACCCCGGUAGUCC
rnacentral:rRNA from 1 species